UACAGAGGUCUCAAGCGUUGUUCGGAUUCAUUGGGCGUAAAGGGUGCGUAGGUGGUGCUGUAAGUCAGGUGUGAAAUCUCGGGGCUCAACCCCGAAACUGCACUUGAUACUGCAGUGCUCGAGGACUGGAGAGGAGAUUGGAAUUCAUGGUGUAGCAGUGAAAUGCGUAGAUAUCAUGAGGAAGACCAGUGGCGAAGGCGGAUCUCUGGACAGUUCCUGACACUGAGGCGCGACAGCGUGGGGAGCAAACAGG
rnacentral:rRNA from 1 species